rnacentral:lncRNA from 1 species
GGGCUUUUUUUCUGGAAGGCUAAGAAGGACCAGCCUCUUCCACCCUGAGAUUCCACACCUGCUUCCCUAGUACCAAGUACUUGAAGAAAGCGGUUCACGUCCCAUCAACGCCACCAGGCCCUGUUGGCCAGGUGCCUGGCGCGUGCCGUAAAGCUUGUGUUUGAGUGUUUGCACAGGGUCCCCUAUCCCCUAGCAGGGAAGCACAGGAAAGCAGUCACCUAGACAGUGACAGAUGCCUUUCUGUUGCCACCGCUAAGAUUCCAAAGUGUCCUUAGACGUCAUGGGAGAGGACCAUGCUGUCUACUUGGGCCAUUUCUGAGCCACCUGGUCUUUGAGAGCAUGACAGGACCAACCUCCCCCACCCCUAACUACAAAGUCACCCUGGCCUCCAGCUACACUGCUGAUGUCUCCUGCCCCCCUCCCCCAGGAACUGGGUUCCUAUAGGGAAUGCCUUGGCCAGCGCCCAGUGGAUCCCUCAGUCCUAUGGCCCCUUCCUAGUGCCUUCCUUCCCCAUGGGGCUCCGUCUCUAGGUCCCAGAAAGCCUGAUCCAGAGGCUCUGGUGCUAUUCCCAUGCUGUAAUGUGAAUACAGGCUCCCUGGUCUUCUUCCAACCAUGGGAUGAUUAGGGUGGGGAGACCUAGUCGGAGAGGCUGCAGCCCAGAACUUCAGAGAUCCUCACUCACUGGUCUCCCCAGUUGAGCUCCAGCCCUGGGUCCCAGCAGUGAAGGGACCCUCCAGGCUGGGCCGUGGGUCUGGUCUGUGCACUGGCAGGAACCUGCCAACUGCAUGCCUGCCUGGUACAGCAUUGUGCAAAAUGGGCAGGAAGAAGAGGCUUCCCAUUUCUCCUAGGAGUCUUAGCGAUUCCUGGCUUAUUUUGUUGUAUAGGUUUUUUUGGGGUGUUUUGUUUUGUUUUGUUUUGUUUUGUUUUAAGCUUGGGUGCAAUGUAAGUGUCAAAAGGUUUUUUUAUUUUGACAUUUUUAAAAAGACCAAAUAGGCCCAAACUGCCUCCGUAGAAGGUGCUGGGGUCUUUCAGAAUGCCUCUUUCAAAUGGACAAAAGACGUGGGCAGGGGGCCCCCCCGAAGUCAUACUGUAAAAGCUACAGCUAAUGUCUUUUCAAAUAUAUUCCCACUAUUUUCGCAGAA